GAUAUAAGGACUGCGAGGUUGUAGAUUACUGCGAUAUAGUAAAGUUUAAGAAUAUGUUUCUUCUAUAUUA
rnacentral:tRNA from 1 species